rnacentral:rRNA from 2 species
AUCGGAGAGUUUGAUCCUGGCUCAGGACGAACGCUGGCGGCGUGCCUAACACAUGCAAGUCGAGCGGACCGACCCCGUCUCUUCGGAGACGGGACAGGUUAGCGGCGAACGGGUGAGUAACACGUGGGCAACCUGCCCCGAAGACCGGGAUAACUCCGGGAAACCGGAGCUAAUACUGGAUACCUUGGCCAUACCGCAUGGCAAGGCCAAGAAAGUUGCUUUGCUUCGCUUCGGGAUGGGCCCGCGUCCCAUUAGCUGGUUGGUGAGGUAACGGCUCACCAAGGCUACGAUGGGUAGCCGGCCUGAGAGGGUGUACGGCCACACUGGGACUGAGAUACGGCCCAGACUCCUACGGGAGGCAGCAGUGAGGAAUAUUGCGCAAUGGGCGAAAGCCUGACGCAGCGACGCCGCGUGGACGAUGAAGGCCUUCGGGUUGUAAAGUCCUGUCAGGAGGGACGAAGUGGCUUCGGCCAUGACGGUACCUCGGUAGGAAGCUCCGGCUAACUACGUGCCAGCAGCCGCGGUAAGACGUAGGGGGCUAGCGUUGUCCGGAAUCACUGGGCGUAAAGAGCUCGUAGGCGGUCUGUUUAGUCGGGUGUGAAAGCCCUCGGCUCAACCGAGGAAUUGCAUUCGAUACUGGCAGGCUAGAGUCUAGCAGAGGGAAGUGGAAUUCCCGGUGUAGCGGUGAAAUGCGCAGAUAUCGGGAAGAACACCGGUGGCGAAGGCGGCUUCCUGGGCUAUGACUGACGCUGAGGAGCGAAAGCUAGGGGAGCAAACAGGAUUAGAUACCCUGGUAGUCCUAGCCGUAAACGAUGGGCACUAGGUGUGGGGGGUUACCAAAUCCCUCCGUGCCGAAGCUAACGCAUUAAGUGCCCCGCCUGGGGAGUACGGCCGCAAGGCUAAAACUCAAAGGAAUUGACGGGGGCCCGCACAAGCGGCGGAGCAUGUGGCUUA